AAGGCUGAGGCCCCGCCCCCGUCAUGGCGCCCGAGGAGAACGCGGGGAGCGAACUCUUGCUGCAGAGUUUCAAGCGCCGCUUCCUGGCAGCGCGCGCCCUGCGCUCCUUCCGCUGGCAGAGCUUAGAAGCAAAGUUAAGAGACUCAUCAGAUUCUGAGCUGCUGCGGGAUAUUUUGCAGAAGACUGUGAAGCAUCCUGUGUGUGUGAAGCACCCGCCGUCAGUCAAGUAUGCCCGGUGCUUUCUCUCAGAACUCAUCAAAAAGCACGAGGCUGUCCACACAGAGCCUUUGGAUGAGCUGUACGAGGUGCUGGUGGAGACCCUGAUGGCCAAGGAGUCCACCCAGGGCCACCGGAGCUAUUUGCUGCCCUCGGGAGGCUCAGUCACACUCUCCAAGAGCACAGCCAUCAUCUCCCACGGCAUCACAGUCCUGGUCACAUGGGAUGCCGCCCUCUACCUUGCAGAAUGGGCCAUCGAGAACCCAGCAGCCUUCACUGAUAGGACUGUCCUAGAGCUUGGCAGUGGUGCUGGCCUCACAGGCCUGGCCAUCUGCAAGAUGUGCCACCCCCGGGCAUACAUCUUCAGGGACUGUCACAGCUGGGUCCUCUAGCAGCUCUGAGGGAAUGUCCUUCUCAAUGGCCUCUCAUUAGGUGCAGAUAUCACUGCCAACUUAGACAGCCCCAGGGUGACAGUGGCCCAGCUGGACUGGGACGUCGCGACGGUCUGUCAGCUCUCUGCCAUCCAGCCAGAUGUUGUCAUUGCAGCAGACGUGCUGUAUUGCCCAGAAGCCAUCGUGUCGCUGGUCGGGGUCCUGCGGAGGCUGGCUGCCUGCCGGGAGCACCAGCGGGCUCCUCAAUUCUACAUGGCCCUUACCGUCUGCAACCCAGAGAUGUGCCAGCUGUUCACCACCGAGCUAUGCUGGACUGGGAUCAGAUGGGAAGCGGAAGCUCAUCAUGACCAGAAACUGUUUCCCUACAGAGAGCACUUGGAGAUGGCAAAGCUGAACCUCACACUGUAG